UAAUUGAGAAUGGUUUAUUGUAUAACAAACAAUUAAAAAAAAAACGCUUAAGAUUUGAUUAAAAAAAGUGAAAUUUAAUUACCGAGAGAGAUCUCUUGCAGAAAACCAAUAGCUGGACAAGAAUCAUCUCAGGAAGAUAUUAGUUUCUGUGUAAUUAGUUUUAAAAAAAGUAUGUCAUGAAUAUCUAAAUAAAACAUGGCGUGUCGAUAGUAUCCAUAAAAUAUACGUACAUACAAUGAUAAUAUGUAUACACAAGUUGAAGACGUUAUAUUGCUAUUAUAUUUAGUUUUUAUAAUAGAGCACAUUGAUUUAUAUCAUUUAAGUGGCAAUGGUUCAAUUAUUUAUAGAAUCAAAGCUCGUACAAAACUGUUUGAAUAAUGAAAGAUCUCUUGUUCCUGUAUCUUGCGAUUUUAAGUAAAUGAACAUUAAAGAAACGUUGUAGGUUAUCUAGGUCACUUUAUUUUUAUUAACAGCUUAAUAUUGCUGAGAUUUGAUGGUCAUUACAGUACCACAAUACCUACCUGAUUACCAGGAGUUAGGUUACGAAAGCUCAGAAUCUUAAGACAUGAGGAUUCAAUUGUAUUACAUAAAAGCUGACUUAUAUAGGUACAAUUGUGAAAACCUUAACGUUGGGGAAUUCAGUUACGGAUAUACGGUACCCGGUCGAGGGGGGCUACGGACCGCAUUAUGUCGGAUUCUGGCACCUUCAGUGAGGCAGAGGUGACUAGGGGGCCAACGUCCUCCACCUUCCCUAAUUUCUCGCAGGAGACUACGCCUUGAAACAGGCGCGUGAGGCGCUGGCCCCGUAAAACCAACUACCGACUAAACUCCAUCGAGCUCCACCACACCGGUCACAUCAAACUGUUACCGCAGUGCGCGCUGGAAGUCCGCCUUCGCCGGUACCCGUCCUGAUAAUACGACGGGAUUACGUCUGCGGGAAUAUCUCGAAGGACGUCGUCAUGGGAGACGCACAGAAACCAUCUUGCACCGCCUCACCACCGGACCGACAGUCCAGUACCGGGCGCCCCCGCAUCCGACACCCGACAGCCCCUUUGGGGCCUGAGCGGGAGCUUCACGCUCGCGCCGCCCACCCCACCUUCUGCGCUGAUGUGCCAAAGAGGUAUGCCACUUCUUUUCGCUCUCCGCAGCCUCACGAAACGCCAUGACCUGGUCACAAAACCUGGCCAUGGCUCCCACUAGUUCUAGACCUCUAACAUGCGAGCGACGACAUCCCGCAGGGAUAGUUCUCUCUCCAGCAGCUUGACGAUAUCUCGCCGAGAGUGCUCCCAACGCGGGCACUCUUCGAGCGCGUGCUGAGUGUCAUCGUCCGGAUGCUCGCACUGGUGGUAACGAUGGUGGAUGGUCAUCUUUGAGAUGGGUCUUCUAAAUACCAGUUAUUAUUAUUCCUACAUUUUACUCUACCUAGAAGAGGGCUGUUCGUAUUAUCGGUGGACCAAUUCUCAUGAAUUAUCUGGAAAAUUUUAAUUCUCCCAAUUCUUUCCAAUUCUCCUCUCGUAUUUUGUACCGUAUGCUCUACGGAGAAUCCUCUCUGGAACUGUUUCAGAUGAUCCUAUCGUUUAUGAUCGCCUGACGGUGACCCUCAUCAUUAGGUGGACCCGUAUACGCUAGUCUGUAAACGAAACCUUAGCCUGACCCAUUCAGGACCAAUUGCCAACUCAAACAUACACAAAAAAAGCACAUAAAAUAAUUUUCGGUCUAGUCGAUUAAGUGGAGUUCAGUUUCAAGCACAUGUACAGAGGAAAAAUUGUUAAUAUAAGAUAAAUUAUUUGGGAUACUAACUUGAUUCAUAUAACAGUAUAACUAGAUAUGAUUGAAUCGUUGUAGAAACAGUCUGACGAUUUUAAUAAGUGAACAAUGUACAGGUAUAGUAUUACAACUCGAACUAAAUCAACUACGGACGAAAAAUAUCCAGGUGUUUUUACGUUUGAAAUAAUUGAUACAACCAUAUCAAGUCCACCCAUUGCUACUACUUAUCUUCGACGGUGCAAUCAAUGUCCUUGUUUUUUCAUACAAAUUUGUAGAAUGUGGCCUCCAAUUUUGUUUUAUAAUUUAUAUUUUAUGCCUCUCUCUUGGAGCACUUUAUGAAACCAAUUAAAAAUCAAUUUCGAUUUAGUUGAGACUUUAUAAUACUUCUAUUUGUAAUUAUGUGUAACAGGUCCUUAAUAUAAUUUAAGGCAAGAUAUAGAUCUCGGCAAUAAUUACUUAAUUUCUUAAGCUGGUCCAAUGUCAUUUUGUGAGUCAUUAACUAACCGCAAUAAAUGACAUAUGACUCCUUCACCUCCUUGACCUCAUUUCAUGAUGGGAAUGCAUCAAAAAUAGAAAUAGACGAUUCCCGAUCACAUUCCUUUUUACGAAAUAAGGAUAUGCCAGAAGUCACAACUACAAACAAAUAACAGAAUUAAGGUUCCUAUUAUUUGUUGAAUGAUUUUUUUUUUUGAAAAGAAACCUUCAUAGUGUCGCUUUACUUAAUCAAAUAAACGACGAGAAACGUAGUAAUGAACUUGAAACAAAUACAAAGGUUGAUCAUACUAUGAUAAAUUAUGUCAACAAUGAUUUGGGAAAACAGUUUUAAGGUGCAGUUUAAUUGUGUUUGAAUUAUUUAAGCCAAUAAGUCGGACAAAAAGUAAAACUGAAGGUGUUUUCUGGUAUGUGGACUUUGGAGGUUUCCGCAAGCCCGAAACCUUCUACAGUUAAUAAGCAACCAACCACAAAACAUUUAAGAUUUUAUCUAUAAGGUAUCAUGACUAAAUUGAAACAAUCGUUAGUUACAUUAUUAUACACAAACACAACAAUCUCUAGUUAGUGAAAUCACUGAAUGCUGACAGUGGCUUUGGGGGUCUGGGGUGGCCGGAAUAAAAUUUCCACCAACCUAAGUCAUCGAUCUACGGAAACCAGCCUCCACUUAGGUACGAGCCUCAGCAAUCCAUUGACGAAUGUCAGCACCCACCAUGUGAUAAAAGACCGAAGUCGUGUUGUUGAUUUUGAUUUAUCAUUUUUUUUUUUUCGACAGCGUUCUGAACCUGAUUCACAAGGUUUCCGCACCGGGUGUAUGUAGGUCUUGUCGGUUCGCAGAUGUUGGGGGCGAGCCGAAGGAUGUUUUUAGGGUCCUAUCUUAGGGCUCUGCCUCUUCCGUUUCGCUGCCUCCUUAUGCGAGAUGGUGGACUCCACAGUAGACUCGCAGAUAUUGGGCAUCGCCUGACAGGACUCCUCACUGCCGAGCAGUAUGUACGAUGGAGAAAUUCUCCGGAUCCCCACCCGCGCGGCAGGUGGGGCAUGUGGGAAUUGAACCUCACUAAAAACUUCUGCCGCUCACAGCUGGCGCCCUACCUCAGACCGGACCGGAGCCCAAUCGGGGCUAUUGAGACUGCUGGACAGGGUUGACGCAAAGCAUAUUACAUCCAACCGGCCGUGUCACAGACGCCGGACCGGCGGCCGACCACGACGCGACCACCAUUUCCCUCGGCCGGAGUACUUACGGACAUGGCCAAUUUUCUAUAUUGUUACGUGAGGCGCUUUGACGGUUAUUUUUAUUAUCUGAUAAAAGACUAAACUUUACAAGAUCCAUAACAAAAAUAACGUAAUAGGAAAGCAUUUGCUCUCAAUCCUGGCUUAUACACCUAAAAAUCGUUUAUUUUAUUGAUUGAAAUAAACAUGAAAUAAACAUGUCUACCUACGUAAUUCAUUAAACCAAUUGUUUUUAAUAAACACAUUGUUUUUAAAAAAUGUUGUUUUUUGAAAAGUAGGUAUACCAAAUUGGCUGGUUUCUAGCGACAGUAAAUUACAUUAAGAUUGCUCAAAAUGAUUAAUUAUUUGUGGAUAAUAAGAAAUCUUGCUUUAAGCAAUUCUACUAAUGCUAUUGGCAGAAUCCGUAACUUUAGUUAAUGAAGGACAACUAACGAGAUUAAAAAGUUUUGAUUUUUUUUGGAAUUGAUCGAUUGUAAAACAUUGCGUUUCAGUAAGAAGACUUUUCAUCUGAGUAGUAAAUAAACAUAACAUAGAUAAACUUAUCGACGAAAGAGGAAUCGUCUCAAUUUUAUUAAGUGAAUCUCAGAAUCCAAUCUAUAAUUUUAAUAAUGAUGACUUUUUCUAAAAUGCUUCCUAAUUUCUCUAGCUAAAGCUGGAUCUUUAGCUGGAUAAAGCUCUAGUACUCUCCGAUCUAUUCAAUACUGUUAAUUCAGCGUAGACGAUAUGACAUGGUCUCGUCUCGUGUGCUCGUCUGCCUACAAGGACAAAAAAAAAAGAAGUAUGACUAGCGGUGGCUGCGAUAAAAGGGUUGUUUUGGAGCUUCGUUGUCUCAAAGUACCGUUCCGAUGCCAACUUUGUCUUUGUUGACGGAUUCGAGACCCAAAUCAUUUUUGUGGUAUGAUUAUAGUCAUAAAUCGGAUACUAAUCAGGUGCGUGUUUUAUUUUUCUAUGCGACAGUAACAAUACAAAACCGUAAUUACAAGAAUUAUAAUAGGUUUGUCAAAUAUCUUUAGUUCUUCACGUGAAAUGUGCAAUUUAGUUAAGAUAUACAUGUGCAAACACGCAAACACUGAUUAGAUACGAAAAAAGGUUAAACAUUUAUUCUGGUAAGAUAGCCGGAUCCAAUAAUACUGAUUUAAAUAUUUCGACCUUAAGAUCGAAAGUCGUUAAAUUUUGAUAAAAACAACGAUAUAUGUAGUUAAGACUUAUUUUAUCUUAAGCCAAAUACCUACUAAUACUAGCUCUUUCUGUGUGAAAAUGAACGUAAAUGAGUAGAUUUCGCCGAUUCUUCUCAGGAUUCUUUUGUUAAUCGGUAGUGUUUAAUUUGACAUACAACAAAUAUGUUACACGAGAUUCAAUUUAAAUAAAAAAAAACUGAGAUUGACUUGAAUGCAUUUUUGCACAAGGAAGAUUUCCUGUUGAGCGUCGACGGUCCGAUUUUAUCGUUGCUAGUACUAUAUACAUACAUUACUAAACUAUGAACAUCAUAGACGUCCACUGCUGGAUAUAGACUUCCCGUUUUUUUAUGUUUAUAGUAUUACUGGUGGCCCGGAGACCUUUCCAGUUUCACCAGGACAGUGGGGGAAAAAGCCCAGCCAGGGUGGGGUUUGUUAACAGCUGCCCGAGCGCCUCCGAAGAAGACCUAACAACUCAAGAGCAGCUGUUUCGCGAAUGAAUCUACUACCGGAUCGGAAUCGCGACCUGCUGAGAAGACCCGGCGAGAAACUCAGCGGGCUGAUGCAUGGGUUAAGUUGCACGUCGAACUCUUUGCCGAGUUCGAUGAGUACGGUUACCGGGAUUCCUAAGCCUGCUCCUAGUGUUAGAGCUGAAGGUGUCUAAUGCAAGAGUUAUUGGAUCUGAUGGAUCCGUAAACAAAUCGUCCGUCCACCUUGUGGGAGAUUUGCCACUCGUGAGACCACCCACUAAAGUAGCGAAGCGUGGCAAACAAUUUUAAUCUUUAUGUACUAAGGUACAAGUUUUAUUAAAUGUCAUGUGAUUUUACGCCCGCAUGGUCAACGUGUGUAAAUAACGUUAUCCGUCACGAGUCUUAUGACCGAAGAAGGAAGAAAGAAUGAAGUAUAUGAAGUGACUCGUGAAUUUGUUCAUCCUGUGAUUAGUUGUAGAGUUGUCGAAUCGACUAUAAAAGCGUUGGAAACAUGACAUGAAGGCAGUUAAUAAUCGGAUCUACCAAAAGCGAAACAGCGAACGGAUCACCUGAAGCGAAGCAGAAGUUAAUUACGAAUUGUAAAGUGUUUUGUAAGCGUUCUAAGUGUUAAAUAGAGUUUUAAUUUGUA